ensembl:lincRNA
CUGGUAGAAGUUGGAAAAUACUUCUGAAAUUUUUUUUUCCUUAGGUUUCUAUUCCUAAGUGACUUCUGGUUGCAACUUAAAAAAAAAUCAAGAAGUGUUUUUCAUCUUGCAUCAUUGAUCGACUAAUCUAUUCCCCUCCUAGAUGCUUUGAUUCAUGAAGAGUGCUUAGUUUUACAUUCUUCAAUGGGCAUCAAGAUAUAAGCCUGAUGUCCAUGCAGCCUUUGAUCCAGUGGACCUAUUAAAUACAGUCCUGUACAGGAACUGGACACUUAAUGUUGAGAGGAAGCGGUGUCGUCACCCUGCAAGUCUGGCAGAGCGAAGUGCUGCUGACAGACGGUUGUUUCUGGGCUUGGGAGUUCUGAAAUAUUGUGAAAGCAACCUUGAAGAAGGUGUGGCAGGGUUCCAUGAAUCUCAUGGUGGAAAGUGCUUCGUUAGGGUGGAGGAAGCUGCAUUAAGAACAUGAAUGAUUUUGGUUUCAGAAAAGUAACUUUGAGCAACCUGAAGGAAGACUGCAAUGGUGACAGAUGAGGCCAAAGGCAACCUAUAACAAGGCUGUUAAAAUCUUCUGGGGAAGAGAAAGCAAGAGUUAGAAUUAAAGCAGUGAAGAUGGGAAGAAAGGAUGGACCUGAGAGCUGUGAGCAGUAGAAUGGAUACUCUGACACCCCAAGGAAGUGGAAUGUCUAAAAAAGAUUUAAAAGGGACUCUUUAAGUUUCUAGUUGAGAAGCUUGGACAGUGAAGAGAAAUGUUGGAUAGAUGAGAAAUUGAAUUUAAUUGGGGAUGUGGUAAUAAUUGAGCUGUCUGUAAGACAUACAGUCAGAGCUGGUCAAUUCCCAUUCAGCAAUUGAAGAUUCUAAGCUACAGCUCAGGGUUUACAUGAACACGAUUUUAUUUUUCUACAAUGCUUCAGGUGACACUUUAUUAUCUUGCCCUGUCUCAGGGAUCAUCAUAAUGCAUAUCAAGUGUUGCUUGGACCAUAAAUGUAUAAAAGCACAGAUUGCAGAGAGCUGUGUUUAAUAGAAAAUGAAUACAAAUGAUUUAUUAAUUUUAUUCAUUGAGCUAUUAAUAUGUGCCUACCAUAGCAAUGGUACAUGAGGAAAAGAGAAACACACACAAACAAACAUGAAAAAAUAAAAAGGCAAAAUCCUUGUUCAAUUUGUUUAUUGUCUUAAGCUUACAGAAGAUAUUGCAAAUGGACAGAAUACCUGUGUUAUGAUUCCAAUUCCAAUCUUUUCCUUGCUUAUGUGGCUUAAGGCAAAUGACAGAACUUUUUAAACCUUUGGUUUCUCAUGAGAAAAUAUUGUUUGUAGAAUAUUAUUUAUAGAUCAUUGGCAUCUUUGUUACUAGGGAGUUGUGAGGAUUAGCUAGGUUUAAAACAAAAAAAAAUACUGUAUUUUGAAAGUAAUAAAUUUCUUUGGGAAAUAAUGAAUGCAUUGUGAUCUAUUUAAUACAUUUUACCAUUACUUUAUUUGAUUUCCAGUUAAGCCAAAUAAUAAUCUGCCUAUUUGAAUUGCAAAAACCAAGCUGGUUUGAAUUAAAGAAGUGUGAAAAACUCUUCGUUGAGAAAAUACGUAACACUUCCAUCAAUUAAAAAUAAGUAAAAUGUGUUAAAAAUAAUGAAAAGUUCAUGUGUAAUUGAACUGGCUUUUUUUCAUAAACCUAUAUUUUUAUCAAGCUUCAUGAAACAAAAAUUGAAUUGGUGCCCAAUGUGAAAUCUGUGUUAAUUGUUAUUAUUCCCAUAAAGUUCACAUGAUUAAAAAAAGUUUUGCAGCUGUGCCAACUCAA